rnacentral:snoRNA from 15 species
AUCUCACAAAAUAAUGAAUUACUGAUGUCAAAAAGUCUGCUCUCUUCUAACGCGGUUAUAAUAUAGAACCGUAUUAAUGGUUGCAGCUUUUUCCUCUUCAUGGAAUCGGUAUAGAUUAUGUCGGGGAGACCGACAGCAUAGCUUAAAACCAUCGUGAAGUCGUUGCUUCGUGCCAUGGCUCGUGAUGACCGAAUGCUACGUACAGUUU